rnacentral:rRNA from 1 species
UACCUUGGUGGCGACCGGCGCACGGGUGCGUAACGCGUAUGCAACCUACCCUUAACAGGGGCAUAACACUGAGAAAUUGGUACUAAUUCCCCAUAACAUUCGAGAAGGCAUCUUCUUGGGUUAAAAACUCCGGUGGUUAAAGAUGGGCAUGCGUUGUAUUAGCUAGUUGGUGAGGUAACGGCUCACCAAGGCAACGAUACAUAGGGGGACUGAGAGGUUAACCCCCCACAUUGGUACUGAGACACGGACCAA